rnacentral:rRNA from 1 species
UUAAGAAAGUAAGAGUGUAUGGUGGAUGCCUUGGCACUAGAAGGCGAAGAAGGACGCGACGAACAGCGAAAUGCUACGGGGAGUUGUAAGUGAACUAAGAUCCGUAGGUAUCCGAAUGGGGCAACCCACCAGUUUGAAGAACUGGUACCCGUUGAUGAAUACAUAGUCAACGAGGAGAGAGACCCGGUGAACCGAAACAUCCAAGUAUCCGGAGGAAAAGAAAGCAAUAGCGAUUCCCUAAGUAGAGGCGAUUGAACGGGGAGCAGCCCAUUACCAUAGAAGUUACAAAUCUUUAAUAUAGUCGAAUUGUGUGGGAAAGCAAACAGUAUAAGGUGAUAGUCCUGUAGAUUAAAUAUUAAAGACUUCGGUAAUAAUGAGUAGGGCGGGGCACGUGUAAUCCUGUCUGAAUAUGCGAGGACCAUCUCGUAAGGCUAAAUACUAGCUAGUGACCGAUAGUGAACCAGUACCGUGAGGGAAAGGUGAAAAGAACCCUUGGCAGGGAGUGAAAUAGAACCUGAAACCAUAUACUUACAAUUAGUCAAAGCCCCUUAUGAGGGUGAUGGCGUGCCUUUUGUAGAAUGAACCGGCGAGUUACGAUAAUGAGCGAGGUUAAACUUUAAGGAGUGGAGCCGUAGCGAAAGCGAAUCUUAAUAGGGUGAAUUAGUCCAUUGUCGUAGACCCGAAACCGGGUGACCUAGCCAUGAGCAGGUUGAAACUUGGGUAAAACCAGGCGGAGGACCGAACCAGGAACUGUUGCAAUAGUUUUGGAUGACUUGUGGCUAGAGGUGAAAUUCCAAUCGAACCCGGAUAUAGCUGGUUCUCCCCGAAAUAUCUUUAGGGAUAGCGUUGUAGUUAAUUUAUUGGAGGUAAAGCUCUGAAUGUGUGAGGGCCUCACCUCGAGGUACCAAUCAUAAUCAAACUGGGAAUGCCAAUAAAUAUGUAUACAGCAGUCAGACUGCGAGUGAUAAGGCCCGUAGUCGAAAGGGAAACAGCCCAGACCGCCAGUUAAGGUCCCUAAAUCUAUGCUAAGUGGGAAAGGAUGUGGAGUCGUUUAGACAACUAGGAUGUUGGCUUAGAAGCAGCCAUCAUUUAAAGAGUGCGUAAUAGCUCACUAGUCGAAGGAUUCUGCGCCGAAAAUGUAACGGGGCUAAGCAUAGUACCGAAGCUGCGGAAACAAGUAAUUGUUUGGUAGGGGAGCGUACUCAACGCGGUGAAGCUAGACCGGAAGGACUAGUGGAGCGUUGAGCAGUGAGAAUGCCGGUGUGAGUAACGAAAAGACAGGUGAGAAUCCUGUCCGUCGAAAGCCUAAGGUUUCCAGGGGAAGGUUCGUCCGCCCUGGGUUAGUCGGGUCCUAAGGUGAGGCUGAAAAGCGUAGCCGAUGGACAUCAGGUUUAUAUUCCUGAACCACCUUAGUAACAGAUGGAAUGACAAAGAAGGCUAGCCGGAGCUGUAUUAGUGGAUUUCAGUUUAAGCUCAAAGAUGUGUAUGUUGGUAAAUCCGCAUGCUAUAACAUUGAAAAGUGAUGAAGGAAUUCUGGUGAAGCCAAGCUUUCAAGAAAAGUUUCUAUGGUUAAUUAUUAAGGUGCCCGUACCGUAAACGGACACACGUAGGCGAGGAGAGAAUCUAAAGACGCGCGAGAAAACUCUUGUUAAGGAACUCUGCAAAAUGACCCCGUAACUUCGGGAUAAGGGGGACUCUUUCUAAAAGAGUCGCAGAUAAUAGACCCAAGCGACUGUUUAUCAAAAACACAGGUUUCUGCUAAAUCGUAAGAUGAAGUAUAGGAGCUGACGCCUGCCCAGUGCUGGAAGGUUAAGGAAAGAUGUUAGGGGUAACCCAAAGCAUUGAACUGAAGCCCCAGUAAACGGCGGCCGUAACUAUAACGGUCCUAAGGUAGCGAAAUUCCUUGUCGGGUAAGUUCCGACCCGCACGAAAGGCGUAACGAUUUG